AGCGAACGCUGGCGGCAGGCUUAACACAUGCAAGUCGAGCGGGCGUAGCAAUACGUCAGCGGCAGACGGGUGGGUAACGCGUGGGAACGUACCUUUUGGUUCGGCACAACCCAGGGAAACUUGGACUAAUACCGAAUAAGCCCUUACGGGGAAAGAUUUAUCGCCGAAAGAUCGGCCCGCGUCUGAUUAGCUAGUUGGUGAGGUAACGGCCCACCAAGGCGACGAUCAGUAGCUGGUCUGAGAGGAUGAUCAGCAACAUUGGGACUGAGACACGGCCCAAACUCCUACGGGAGGCAGCAGUGGGAAAUAUUGGACAAUGGGCGCAAGCCUGAUCCAGCCAUGCCGCGUGAGUGAUGAAGGCCCUAGGGUUGUAAAGCUCUUUUGUGCGGGAAGAUAAUGACGGUACCGCAAGAAUAAGCCCCGGCUAACUUCGUGCCAGCAGCCGCCGUAAGAC
rnacentral:rRNA from 1 species